GACGAACGCUGGCGGCGUGCUUAACACAUGCAAGUCGAACGAAGUGGCGAACGGGUGAGUAACGCGUAAUCAACCUGCCCUUCAACGGGGGACAACAGUUGGAAACGAAUGCUAAUACCGCAUACUGAAGGAGGGGAUUGCGUCUGAUUAGCUCGGUGGGGGGGUAACGGCCCACCAAGGCGAUGAUCAGUAGCCGGUCUGAGAGGAUGAAAGGUCACAUUGGGACUGUGACACGGGCCAGACUCCUACGGGAGGCAGCCGUGGGGAAUCUUCCGCAAUGGACGAAAGUCUUACGGAGCAACGCCGCGUGAGUGAUGACGGCCUUCGGGUUGGAAAGCUCUGUUAAUCGGGACGCGGUACCGGAAUAGAAAGCCACGGCUAACUACGUGCCAGCCGCCGCGGUAAUUC
rnacentral:rRNA from 1 species